rnacentral:rRNA from 1 species
UACGUAGGGGGCUAGCGUUGUCCGGAUUUAUUGGGCGUAAAGAGCGUGUAGGCGGCCAGGUAGGUCUGGUGUGAAAACUCGAGGCUUAACCUCGAGAUGUCAUCGGAAACCAUCUGGCUAGAGUCCGGAAGAGGAGAGUGGAAUUCCUGGUGUAGCAGUGAAAUGCGCAGAUAUCAGGAAGAACACCAAUGGCGAAAGCAGCUCUCUGGGACGGUACUGACGCUGAGACGCGAAAGCGUGGGGAGCGAACAGG